CGUCAAUGAAGAUCUGUGGAGCAUAUCCAAUAUCAAUGUGUUCUUGGACAAAUCUUUGAGGUUGAAUCUGAUAGUUUUGAGGGUAGUAAUGAUAGAAUUCAUUCUUUUUCAAGUCUAAUUUAGUGUCAUCCUCGGGUUUAGCCGGUGGUUCUUCGCCGCCACCUCCUUCCUUGUUUUCUUUCGCCUCUUCACCACCUUUCUUGGCUUCCUUUUUCUCACCCCCGGUCUUCUUCUCGUCUUUACAGUCUUUUUCUUUCUCUUUUUCAUCCUCUUUUUUAUCCGGCUCUACCUUCACGAUUACUGCGUGCUUUCCCGUUCUCUUGUAUACAUAAUCAACGAGAUCUUCAGGCUCAAACAUGCCUUUCACUGUCACUUGUGAACUCUUUAGAUCUGGCUCUGCACUUUCCGCUCCUACAAAUCAAAACUUGACCAUGUUAACACAUUAUAAGCAUGUUUAGCUAACUUAUUGUCAUCAAAAGAAGAAAAAGAAAAAGAGUGAGUUCAAUUUCUUUCUUAUAUACUUAUAAAACAUGCUAUAAGCCCGUUAACAAUACAUUUGGGGUCGACUAUACGCUUCUGCGAGACAAUUGCAUGUUUAUGAAUGAUCCAUCUAUGCCAAAAACUUCACAAAGAUUCUUGAGGGAUUAAUCUUGAUUAAAAUACUUAUGUUGAAGUGACGCAGAAUCUUAAGAAUUGAAUAUUAUAGAUGAAAAUAAAGAGAAGAAUUGAAUACAAUUAUUUUUGCACAUACAGCAGAAAAGGGCUAUAAAGGCAAAAAAAUAAUAACUACUGUAUGAAUCUUCAAAAAAUUAAAAUAAAGAACUUUUUUAUCGGUUGAGGUUUAAAAUAAAUUUAAGGAAACAAUGAAGUUACCUUUCAUUCUCUGUAUUCUCUUCCUGAUUGCUUGAGCACAAGCCUCACAAUGCAUGUAAACAUGCAAGAUUACUGUAAUCACCGGAGGCUAAAAAGGUAAAAAAAAAAUAAAAAAAAUUACAGUUAUUUUCUAACAAUAAAAUAAUUCUUUUACAAAAUUUUAAAAAAUACAAACCUCCGGUUUUUUCUCUUCGGCUUUAGCCAUCUCUUUUUCUUCCGGUUUCUUAGGUUCUUCCGCCACCGGUUUUGGGAUUGGAGAGAGAAGCUCCACCUGCCGGUGGCUCUUCCUUUGAACCCUUUCCAAAACCUUAAUUGGAUCUGCCUUCUCACCUUUCACAAUCACCUUACUCGUCUUGCAAUCUGUUAUUACAUCCUCUACCCCUGCAACAUAAAUUUAGAAUCGACUAUAUAUAUAAAUCCUUUUCUUUGUCCUUCUAUUCGUUCAUAUACCUCCA
rnacentral:lncRNA from 1 species